UGCUAAAUUUGAUGUUGAGGUAACAAUACUUUGUUUCUUCAUGGGAUAUGAUUUGUUAUGCAUCAUAGGAUUCGUUAUUCAUACAUUUAUUUGAAAGAUAUAGAUAUGCACACGUGUUACUUACAGGGGUGAAGGGAAGCAGCCGAGAUGCAGUCAGAGACAUUUCGAAGCUACGAGCUAGAAAUAGAGAUGAGAACAUAUCAGAAAACAUCCCUGAAUUCAGGGAAUGUCAUAUCUUGUUUGCUUUUUUAAAUGGCACCAUAUAACUCCUUUGUAUUGAUUCACCAGAUCUCUCUUUGUUCAUGGGGCAACCUUAUGCCCAAUCCGUGUAAAUUUUACAAUAAAAUUAACUAUCCCCAAAGCCUGAAGCAGUUAUUCUCCCGAGAAGGCCACAAUAGGAUCUGCAAUUGCUGUUUCAUAAGUGGAAUAACACAGCACAAUCUGCCUAGCUGAUUAGGGGCGACUCUGGUCCUGCACCUCAUGUGUCCUGAAGUCAGGGCUCAGCUUCUGACAAAAUCUCCCUCUGUCUCGUUUCAUUGUUCUUGUCUUGUUCCUUCACCUGUUCUUAAAAUGCCAUUCUCAAGUCCUAGUUUAGUUCGAUUGCCUUCUUCAAUUCUCUUCCUUCCCUCCCUGUCUUCUUUUAUGCACAAAAAUACCUAUUAAUCAUGUACUGGGGACCAGGCACUGUGCCAGUCUGGCAAUAUAAAAGGGAGUAAAACGAGAUGAGCUUCCUGUCUUAACCUCCUGAAAUCGACAGACUAGGAAAGAGAAGACAUUGGUUACAUAAUCACACAAGCAGAUGUUCAAGGCUACUGUUGGUGGUGCUGAAAUGUAGCAAUCUCUUGACAGUUUAGUGAGCUCAUGACCAGAGGAUCUGUCUUAUGCAAAGGUCAGAGAAGGCUUCCCUGAUAAAGGAAGGUCAUCCAAGGUAAAAUCUGUGGGAUGAGGAGGAGUUAGCUAAGAGGAGGGAGGAGGACCAGGUAUCUAGGUGGAGGGCAUAUCCCAUACAAGGAAUGAUUGUAACAAGAAGAGAAUAAAAGAAGGGUGAUGUGGUGAGAGAGGUUUGGAGAGCCAGUCCAGAUGUGCAAAGAGUAGCAAAAAAUUUCGGUCGCCAGGCAUAAACAUUUCCCACAGAGACUGAACUGGGGCAGUCUGUCUUCUUGUUUCAGCACUCAUAAGGUGUUACACCACAGUGAACUUUUAGUGCUGGCUUCCGUCUCAGCAUCUGCUUCCCAGAGAAAUCAAUGAGAAUGAUCUCUUAUCCUAUCAAGGAUCAUUUUACCUCCUUCUCACCAAAUGUUACACAUCAGUGAGCAGCACUGCCUAGGAGAUAACAGGAAGCCGGGUUUCACAGCAGCCAUCCUAACCAACUAAUUCUGUGAUGAUUGAGAGACUGUGAGUGACCCGAUUGGCCAGACCCUUACUGAACCCAACUGACAACUGUGUCCUGAUUAAAGGGGAAUGAAAUUUGUUUUCACAAUCCCAUAUAGACCUAUAAACUUGUCCUGACCUGUCAAGAGUGCCAGUUUUCAAACUGCCAUUAGCAAACCACUGUGAAACCACCCACAAAAGCCUUACAUUUUAGGCUUUUCAUUUUAUGUUUACUAUGAAACAUUAAAGAAUGCAUGAAUAUAGAAAUGGAAAUUGGUCCCUUUUCACCGAUCACAAACUUUGUACCUCAAUUCUUAAAGUCAGGGAUGUUUAACUCAGCCAGCCACCUAGCUAGGGUCUGUAACAAACAGUUGGUUAUUUUUCACCCUUUGUCUACUCAAAAUUAAGAAAGUAAAGACGAUAAAAACAAUAUUCUACAGAAAAAAAAGACAAAUGUUAAAAAAGUAAUAAAAGAGAACUUUCUUUCAUAUUCAUGUGAGAAGGAUAGAUGUUUAGAAAUAAAGAAUAAAAUUUGUGUGAGGGAUGCCUCUUGCAUUUUAAGAAUUAGAAGAGGUGAUUGGUAAAACUGUAGACAUGGACGAGCUGGUUUUCCAAGGCACGGGAUCAGCUACAAGUACAUAGAAAAGGUCCCUCAUAUAAAAACAAUUAUGUCAAGGUGAAUUUGUGUGUAUUAUAUAUGUACUAAAUGAUGUGUACAUGCAACUGGUUGUUACAGGAAAAAGGAAAAACAGAAAAAAACUGAAAAAAUUACAUGAAAAAAAUGUAUCAAGAACCCACAGUAGUUGUAAAUAGCAUGAUACUGUUAUUGAGUACCUGAAAUCAAUUGCAGAUUGACAUGAGGAGGAGCUCAAUGUAACUUCUCCCAGAGAUGAUCACAGAACUUAAAGAGGCUGAAUUCAUAGAACAGCUUCUGUGUAGAAGUCACUCUAUAGUUCCUCCCAGAGGAGGGGACUGACUUUUCAAUUUGUCCAUUGGGCCAUGCUCGGACCACAGUACUUGAAACAGAACCUUAGGAAAAUGCAUCAUAUUUUAAUUCUGAACCAAGAGUUGGCUCAUUUUUAAAGAUACCAUGCUUAGUUUUCAUUUAUUCAGAUUUAGGUAAAGGGUUCAAUAUUCAGGUCAGGAUUUGAAAUGGGCAUCAGGAAGGUGCCCUUAGGUGAGGAAGAUUUGUGAUGUGGGCAACUUCUUGCUAAUAAAAGCCUUCAGUUCAACCUGUACUGGUUCAAGAACUUCUGAAGUUUUACAGAGGCUUGCCUGGAAUCUGGGAUGAGGGCCUGGGGUUGAGGUCAGGCAGCUUCGUGAACGGAGAAGUGUUGUGCUAAUGGGGUUGCUUGAGGGAGGACAAUGAUAUCCACCUUUUUUCAAUAUUUUGCCUAAGGCCACCCUGGCCCUGCCAUUCAAAAUCACCUUUUCUGUCAUUUUGGCGUUUGUGGUACAUUGCAGAACCCUGACUUAGGCCAGGAGGCCAUUUAGGAAAUUAUUCCUGACAUUUUGUUUUAAAUUAAUAAAAUACAUAAAAUAGGGUUCCUUGUAAUAGAUCUCACACAUCAAGCAUAAGUAGAUCGCAUUAUUUAUUUUUAAAUGACAUAUGCUGUAGCUCAGUUUUGUAGAAUUCAAGAAUAUACUUCAUCUUUUGUGUAGGUAAUUUCAUUCAAUUUCCCAGUCCCCUCUUUCAUUUUGGAGAAAUAAAAUUUGUGUUUUAUGUCUAUAUACACUCUCCAAUGGGGCAAUUCAAAAAUAAAAGUGCAUCCUUAACACUGCAUUUCUUUGCUUUUGGCCUGCACUAGAACUUUUCCCUCAUUUCAAUGUAGCUUUUGUAUGGGUGAAUGCAAUAAAAAAGGUAAUAAACUUAAUAAAUGGUUCAAUUGCAUGAGUGCACCUGUGUGUUACCUUCAUCCUCAUUAUCCAUUUCCUCAGACAUUGUCCAUUACCUCGUGUUGGUCACAGAACCCUAUUGUAAGUCUAAUACAUAGUGCAAUAAAAAUAAAUAAUCUGAGAAAAUAUUACAGUGCAAACUGAAAAUAGUUUUGUUGUAAAUUUAUGCACAUUUUUAUCCACUCUGCUAAGUACAAGGAUGCUGUCAGUGUACUGUUCUCUUUAUAUCUCCCAUAGGAGUGAGACCCAAAUCCUUAUUUCUUAUGAGCUUCAUUCAAAUAUAUAUUACAGGGGCUCCAUGCCCGUGGUUGUUUUCUCAGUAGAAUUCCUGAAAACUGAUUCAGACAAUAGUGUGUGCGUGUGUGCGCAGGUAUGUAAAAAUGUGAUGUCCGAGAUGACCCUCUAAAUCCAUGCCUACGUACUCACAGAAAAAUAGAAAAUAGUAGGUAUUUUAUUCAAGCAAUUCAGGCACUAAAUGCAUAUUUGCCCUGAUAUCUGUAGAUACGAAAAAAACUGUAUUCUGCUUGAAACUUUUGAAUAAUAGAUAUAUUUUCAAACUGAGCUGACUGUGUGAACUUCAAAUUUUUGUGGGUUUAUAAAGGGCAGAGUUUCCUAGGAUGUUUACUGCUAAAUUGCAUAUCACGUAUUGGCAUGAUAUGAAGAACGGACUCACCUCUCAUGCCUUGCUAGUUUAAAAUACUUUACAUGCUUUUAGCCAAAGAUAAUUUUAAAACCAAAUAUGCCCUCUAAUUCGUAGAUGCAAAACUGUGUUUUCCAGCUCUCUUUUACACAGGGUCUGUUGGCAGCUGCGUGAUAGUAUACUCAUUAAUAUCUUUGACAGUUCAUAGUUGUCAAUCACACCAGAUUUUCACAAGCUGCUUACAUGGCCUGAGAAAUGCACAGAAAUGAAGAGGUGAUCCCAGACUGACAGAUCAUUUCAGGUGGCUUGAGUAGACUUUAAUUGACUCUUGGUUUGCUGUCUAUACUGCUCUCCAAGGAAUGCACGAAUUAAUGAAGCUACUUAAUAAAAAUCUUGGCUAGAUCUUAUCUGUUUCUGCCACUAACCAAUAGAGCAUAUUUACACUACACAUAUUUUACAUCCAGGCAUUCAGUUUUUGGAUUGCUUGUGUAGAGAACAUGAUUUACUCCCCCUUUACAAAAUUUUAGUUCUGUUAACUAUAAACAGGACAGUGGGUAGCCAGGACAAUGAAUAACCUCUGCAAACAACGAAAAUAUAAAGACAAUGUCCACAUGUAUAGGAAAUAGCACAUACAAAGUGAAAUUUAAAGUAGGAAAUAUGUAGACAAUUUCCCAGUAAGUUCAAGUAAUCUCUAUUCUGAUUUAGAGGUAAAAACUCAUUCUAACUUUUAGGGGGAAAAUGCUUCUCUCCAACCUUCUUUUGGGAUAUUUAAAACUAUUUUAUUGGCAAUAAAAACUGCCUCUUUUGUAGGAAAAUGCAUAAUAUUUUAAUUCGGAACCAAGAUUUGGGUCAUUUUUAGAGAUACCAUGGUAGGCAUACAAGUGCAGAGUCUAGUGUACUGGUCUCUGCACUGAGUACCAAGCACACAUUAGUCCUUGCUUAUCUGUCCAACCCUACAGAGUAAAGAUCAUUGCUCUCAUUUUUCAGAUGAGGACCUUUAUACUUAGACAAAUGAAAUGACUGGACCAAGUCCAUAAAUGUAGUGGUUGGUAGACAAAGGACACAAACCCAAGCUGUUUGGAUCUCAAACUCUUGAUCUUUGCCGGGGUAUCAUGGUGCCUCCUGAAGUCUUUUCAGUCAAGGUAAAAACCAUCGGUUUCAUUUCUUGAGGGAGUGCUCUUGCUUGAAGGGUUUACCGGCCACUGCUUUUUGCUCUGUGUGGCUGCUUUGUGCCUUUCAGGUUUGAUUUCCUAUAUUUUAGUUCCUCUUCGUUUCACCAAGUUAAAGUACAGCUCUAAUUACAAUGACUACAUUACUACAUCAAUUUCUAGAUGUAAAAGGCAUCCUUAUAAAUGUUCAUAAAUACUUCUGACUUUCAAAAUAAUGCAAAGCGAUGGAACAUAGUUAAUGCUUCAUUAGCUAAAUGCUAUGCAAAAUUUGUUAUUAGGCUGUCCUGAGAACAUUUUUUGGAGCAAAUUACCUAUCAGCAUUUUAUUUGAUAACUCUAAAAUGAAUUUUCUGCAGUAAGCUAUGAUGUUGCCAAAAUAUGUAGAAAAUUUGUGCUCAACAUUAUUAAAUAUUUGAAUUAACACAUCAUAAUCUCCAUAUAUAUUUCUUUUAAUAUUUUCUAUGAAUAAAUGUUUGCAUAUCACAUUAUUUUUAUGAAUGCAUGCAAUUAUAGGUUAGUAAACAAUAAACAUUUUAGCUGGCUUUUUCUAUUCCUUUAAUCAAAACAAAACAAAUAGCAUAAAAUAAUGUUCAUUGAAUGUUAAAACUGCAGAGGAAAUAGUUUUCUCUCUCUAUUAUGAUUCUUCCUUGAUUGAAGACAAUCAUUGUGAACAAUAAUUUUCAAUGUACUACACUAUGAGUAUAGCAGGUAUAAGACAUUUAACUGCUCAUAAAUAUUGCUUAAUAAUGUUAUGUACAGGAGUAAAUGAAUCCACUGGGGAAUAAACCUCUAUUGAUAAGCUAUCUUAUUUAUGUUUGUAUGCAUAAUUAUUCUGCCCUUUUCUCAAACUUUUAAACACCUUCAAACACCAGUAAACCUCUAAAAAUACACCAUCUUAUUUACGUGUGUAUGCAUAAUACUUCUACCCUAUUCUCAAACUAAAACUUCAAACACCAAGCCUGAUAUUUUGAAUGCAAAGAGCCCUUAAUAAACACUUCGUGAAGUGAAUUGAUUCUGAAACUACUUUGUGAUGUGUUUGGAAUCGUUUUUGAAAGAGUAUUCUAAAAAAAUCUUCUCCCUGUAGCAUGACCCUCACUCUAUGAGUUUUAUAACUGUAUCUAUUUGCAGCAUGUGCUAUAUCAUAUUACCCUUUUGGAGACUUUUAAAAUGUGACUUAAUUUGGCCUCUGAUAAGUACUACAGUAAAGAAAUCCUUUUAAUUCUAUUCAUUUAUUUCCCAAGCAUAAAUGAACACAGAAUCUCUUAAAGUCUUCAGAUCUUAAAGUUUACUAGAACUAGAAUUCCAGGUAACUCGGUAUAAGAACUGUUGUUUAAGAA
rnacentral:lncRNA from 10 species